UCCAAAUUCCCCAUUCCCCAAACCCAAAUCCUCUCACGCACUCCCUUCGCCGCCGACCGUCCGACGUCUCCAGCACGCCGUCACCGUGGUAGCAAGGUUGCUGCCCUGUCUCCUUCAUCCUCCUGCACUCACACUGCUUAGCCCCCAAACACUUCUAACCCUAGCUCGUGCGCUGGAGUUCGGGGAGAGGCCAAGGCGCGGUGAUGGAUGCCGCCGUCCCUCUCAGAUCCGAGGCUGAGAGAGAGAGAGAGAGAGAGAGAGAGAGAGAGAGAGAGAGAGAGAGAGAGAGAGAGAGAGAGAGAGGCGGGUCACCUGCGAGAGAGAGCACUCGUACCCUCGCUCAUCAUCCGGGAGCUGCCACCACCGCCGGCACGCCAUGGGCUACCUCAGAUCUGUGCCAGCCGGUUCGUUCGAAGAGGGAUCUGGCCAUUGACUAUUGGUGCUUCCCCUCCCUCGACGAUCAGCCAUGACUUGGGAUGGUACUUCUAUCAAGCAAGCAGCGCUUCGGCUGGGAGCUCAAGCUCAAGCAGAACGUCAAAAACAGGGGCUCUAUCUGCUAAUGGGGUAGCCGGCAAUGCAGUCUAAGAGCUGGCUACUGCUAAUGUGAUUUCUGGAUUUGAGAGGAUGAGAACUUGAGAAGAACAAGCUUGAUACUACGAUUGCAAAAAAAAAGUCUAUACUACAGGUGAGAGUUGAGACACACCAUACAUAGGCUCUGCAAGCGGGCGGAAAUAGACCUCUUCGUCGAUGACUUCUACGAGGACGAUAUUGACCUAGAGGCUGGAGCUUUGCUACUCUUUCCGGCCAACAACAAGGGAUCGUUUAUUUUUUCUCUCCCCACACCCAGUCCUUCCCUGUUCCUAUCCCUCCUGCUUAUUUCUUUCUAUGGGGCAACAUACUGAAAGUGUUUGUUAAAUUGUUGGUCUCAAUGCUCCAUUCUAGCAGAAGGAUUUUCGGUAGGAAGACAUAGCAUCAAUCAAGGAUUUUUGGGUGGAAGACAUAGCAUCACUCAUGGUUGUAUAGAUUUACUGCUGUAUUUCUGUAUUUUUGCAAAACUAGUUCAGUAAAGCUUGUAGCUUAUUUCAGUUCUUAAGUGGUUUUACACUUAGGCUUGUAUUGACUUACUACUUAUUUUUUCCAUAAUUUUGCAACACUAGUUCUGUAGUACUUAGUACAGUUUUUUUCUAGAAUCAAGACAAAAUACAUGUAUAUCUAGCCGUUUGUAUUUCUACAGUCAUGCUUCUAAAGAUUUUAUAGUUUUAUUUUCACUAUAGAUUUGCUUCAGUAGUUCUGUAACUUCUAGAAUAGUUCAGUUAAGAGGUUUUACUCUUAGGCUUGUAUAAACUUACAACAUCUUUUAUUUGUAAUUUUGGAAUAUUAGUUCUAUGUAGCUUUACUUUAGUUUCUGGAAACAAGAUUAAAUACGUAUGUUUGCAGUUUGUAAUUUACAGUCAUGCUUCUAUAGAGUUUACAGUAGUAUUUUCUGUGAAUUUGCUUCACUAGUUCUAUAAAACUUCUAGAAUAGUUCACUUCUGGAAUGAAGAGUUAAUAUGUAUUAAUUGGUUUAGUAAUUUACCUUUUCGCUUGUAUAGAUUUCCAGCUGUAGUAUUGUUGUCAUUUUUCUUCAGUAGUUUUCGAAAAUGGACUAAAUAUGAAAAGUUGGUUCUAAUUUAUUGUCAGUCUUUUUCUAUAGAUGUUACAGUUGCAUUUUUCUUAUUAGUUUUUGGCAAUUUUGCAAUGAGAAUGGUUUAACAACUGUAGAUUGUUCUGGUUUAUAAGGUUAUUGUAUCCAUGAGGAAAUUUGUUACUUAUUUCUGAAUACAUCUCUUACUGUUUAUCUGCACAUUGCAGAGUAACUCAUAUUGGUGUAGCUUAGAUGCAUUUUAAGAUAUGGCAUGAAGCUAGCUAAGGUCUUCUAUUAUUUCUAGCAGCAUGUGAUUGACUGAACAAAAGAAGGACUCCACUCACAUAUGAAAUGCUCUUGCAAGUUUUUUGUUAAAAAAAGCAAAGGACCAGCGGUGUAGCUAAGGGCUUUAAUUUGUUAGUACUCCAUUUGUUGCUUCUAAAACACUUGUACAAAUAGUUUCUCUUGGUUAUCAUAAGUGAACAUUCUUUAGAUAAACUUCGCCCAGUUUUUUUAGUGGGGAAGGAAAGCUUCAUGAUAUUCCAUUUAAAGCGCCGAGUUUUAAAGCGCUGAUAUCUAUUUGAAAAUUAAUUUAUGUGCAUACCUCCUCGACCUAACAGUAUUUUUCUAUUGUAUAGGAGAAAUCUUCUCAGUUUCUGAAUCCUGAGCAGUAGCAAGUCAGGUGCUUAAUGGUGAUCCUACCAUGCAUAUGGCAUAAGCAAGUUAGUUCUAAAAUGGUCAUUGUUAAUUCGCCCACAUCUGUCCCGCAAUUGCCAGAACUUUAGUGCAGUGAGAUCAGAGGACAGUCAUCAAUUUAAUCUAAUUUGUGGCACUGAAGUAUAGGUGCUUUUCUCCGAUGCUUUUUUGAAUAUAAUAGUCAGAUGCAGUGUAAGUUCAGAUACUUUUUGUUUUUGUUUGGUAUUUUGCAUGUCCUCAUGUGCUUAGUACCGCAUUUAGAAAUGAUUUCAGAUAGAUUCUUCUCAUUGAAAUUCAUUUCUAACAUAGGGAAAGUAUGUAUAACCUCUUGAUGUACAUGGGUUUUUGAGAAUGCUUUUCCCAGGCCAUGCUGCACUCAUCAUUGAAACUUCUAGCUGUGUAUUAGAUAGUAAUCAUUUUGCCUAAUGUAUUGCCGUCUAGUGCACCACAGUGCGGUCUUUCCACCCCAGAGAACAAAAAGAAAGCGAACUAGUGCAGUCUUUUCUUCAAAAAUGACUUUCAUGUGUCCGUUGGUGGAUGUGUUGCUCCCAAUAAUUGGGUGUCUGGACAUGCUAAAUUGUUGCCUUGUGGCCAGAUGAUGCAUAUGCUCCUUUUCCAUUUAAUAUACUUCCUGGUCUGCGGCUUGAGGAGAUUCAUACAGGCUAUAUGGUGGGUCGGUGUGGCACUGAUGCUUUAUUAUGUCUAACCCAUCACAGAUUCUAAUUAGACAUCCCCUGUUUAGUAAUACUAAAAUCCCAGUUUGUUUUUGCCAUUGGUGCUUUAUACAAUUAUUAUUUUUCCAUUAUCUCUAUGAGUGCAUGAAUUCACCGGUCACCCUUUUAUCCUUUGUAGGAAUGACAUACAAGAGGACCCGGAAGUAAGCAUGCAUGAAGAUGGCGGUUUGCGUCAGCUAGGCAUUUUGUGUAAUGGAGCAAAAACAUUGUGUCUUUUAGCAUUUUGUAAGCGUAUAUGGUGUCUUGUCAAUUGGGUAUUUUGUGUAAUGCAGCAAACAAUGAAUCAUUGGACAUUCAUCUAUCAUUUUGUAAACCAAUCAGGUGUCUUGGUGAUUGAAACAUAAAUGCUUCCUCCUUUUA